rnacentral:rRNA from 1 species
GAUGAACGCUGGCGGCGUGCCUAAUACAUGCAAGUCGAGCGAACAGACGAGGAGCUUGCUCCUCUGACGUUAGCGGCGGACGGGUGAGUAACACGUGGAUAACCUACCUAUAAGACUGGGAUAACUUCGGGAAACCGGAGCUAAUACCGGAUAAUAUAUUGAACCGCAUGGUUCAAUAGUGAAAGACGGUUUUGCUGUCACUUAUAGAUGGAUCCGCGCCGCAUUAGCUAGUUGGUAAGGUAACGGCUUACCAAGGCAACGAUGCGUAGCCGACCUGAGAGGGUGAUCGGUCACACUGGAACUGAGACACGGUCCCGACUCCUACGGGAGGCAGCAGUAGGGAAUCUUCCGCAAUGGGCGAAAGCUUGACGGAGCAACGCCGCGUGAGUGAUGAAGGUCUUCGGAUCGUAAAACUCUGUUAUUAGGGAAGAACAAAUGUGUAAGUAACUAUGCACGUCUUGACGGUACCUAAUCAGAAAGCCACGGCUAACUACGUG